UAUAAUAUAAAUCAAUUGCUUUAAAAAAGCAAUUGUAGGGGGUCUUUCCCCCUUUAAAAUUAAUUGAAUUGGGGGGGGGGGGGGUUUGUUUGUUUGUUUGUUUGUUUGUUUGUUUGUUUGUUUCUGUAUGGGGUCUAUAUUAUUGUUACCGGAGAAGUUUCAUGUUUAGUUUGGAAAGUUUUUCUUUUAUUUUAGGUACAGCGCGCGCGCCACAUCACGUGACACGGGUUUAUAAUAACGAAAAGAUAGUCUUUUUAUUCCUUUUUAGGUGGGGACUUUGAACAGACAACAUGUAUAGAGACGGAAUGCACACAAUGUAAUUUCUUUUGUCAUUGUAGGAAAUUGACAUUUUGAUGACAGUUCACAAGCAGUGCAUGAUUUGGAUUUAUUUGAUCCGGUGUAACUUUAAAACACAUUUAUUGAUUAUUUUCUGAUAAUGUACAUUUUUCAGCACCUGUUUGUAACACAGAUUAGUAUUUCAAUCUCGGAGCGGACAUUUUAUUGUAGGCUUUUACUGAAAUUUACGGACCUAGCAAGCAAUUUUUACGGCAUUGCAAUUUUUUUUCUCUAGGAAAAGCUUUGAGAGAUAUCUGCACCAAAUUUUUUUACAAACUUUUAGUACAUGUAUGCCCUGCUGACUGCAAAUUUUGAGGUCGAUUGUAUUUGUAGUUUCAGAGUACAUGUGGAUUUUUUUUUCAGAAGUGACGCAAGAACAAUAUUAAAUUUCAAUUUUUCAUGAAACAUGAUUGAUUGAUCAUG
rnacentral:lncRNA from 1 species